rnacentral:lncRNA from 1 species
GGAGAACCUGUUGAGUGUGUAACAAUAAACAAGUAAGUGGAAGAGGCCCCCUGAGAUGGAGGGUGGGGAAGGUUGUGGAGACCUCGGCCUUUGCCGCUCCUCCAGAGGCCGUGACAGAGAUAGCUCAGGGCCAGCCUGGCCUGCAGAGGGCUUCUCUGGGGGAUACUGGGUAGCAGAACACCAUCUGCCCUGGGCCUCGGCACAGGAAGUUGCCUGGAAGCUUCCCCACAUCAGGGAUUGGGUCCCUAGGGCCGGGGUUGCUGGGCUCAGAUGGCCUGACAAACACCCUCUCAACUCUGCGGAGGACUAAAUUGCCCUUCCCCUCCCUGUGCAGGUACUAUUCCAGCAAAGCUCCCCCUUUCCCAGGCUGCUCAGAUUCAUUUAAGUGAAGCCUGGGGGAGCCCAGCCAGAGCUGAGGAGAGCAGUACCUCGGGACCUCCCCUCCGUCGCCCCCAGAGUCAGCUUCUAGCUCAGACCCAAGAGGAUGAAGUUCUAGGGGAACUAGUCCCUAGUGGGCGGGCGAGGUAGUGGGCUAGGGGGAAGAGUAGGCGGCUCCGGCUGGGGCUGGCAUAGCUGGAGAUGCAGACUGUGGGGGCAGGCGGUUCCCCUCGGGCUUUUCUGAGUCGGAAUUAUGUAUUCUAUUCUCACGGGAAGCUUGAAGCUGCUUCAGGCACCAACCUUGGCAAUUUCAAUUCCACCAGUCUAAGACAAGACCCUGACAGUCCCUCAAGUACCCACAUUCCUCUGAACUGUUUAAGCAAGAGAAACCCAGGUAAUUUUUCUGUUAAAGUACUUAAUAUUAACUUCAUCUGCUCUGAGAAGAUCAAUUUCCUGACAACUCUAACGUCUCCUCUUGCUCCACUGACAGAUGCAAUUAUUCAAUUAAGGAUGAAAAAGUAAGAGGAAAGCUAUAAUUGCCCACAGAUGCUCCAGCAUGCUGGAUCUCUACAUCGUUAUGCCUAAGAAGAAUGGACAACCCAAUUGAAGAGGAAACAAUGGCACUUGGGAAAAAUGGUCAAGGGAGCGCCUACUAAUUUAUCGGGAGGAUUAUUAAAUGUGUUUCCAGGACUUCCUUGCUUAAUACCUUUGAUUAGGUCCCCAGAUGAGCCAAAGCUAGGUUAAUGAACCCAUUUGUUACAUUUGGGUUGGGCCACUCUGAUAUCCGAUGGCAUCUGGACGCUAACGUAACGCUGACUAGUGGAACAAGUGCACUGCAGUAAUGAGCCCUGAGUGAUGGUGCAGAUCAGUGUUAUGAAUCUCCUCCUUCCUCAAUUCAGCAUUCUUGUAAACAACAUAUUUCCUGCAGCCACCGAGAUUUAAUUAGCAAAUGAGAUAUUUACAAUAUUAAGGACUAAUUCACCCACGUACAUAUGUGAGAGGGAGAAAAUAGUCUGGUAAUCCAACUAUGCGGAGUAAAUGACAGUAAAACAGAUCACUUUUCAUCUGAAUCUGCCUGACUCAGAAGUCUAAUUUCCGCAUCCAGUACAACAGCCUCUGUCUUUGCCAGGACACUCCCAGAGUAGUCAGCAAUUCUCAGCUGUGGCUCAGAGUAAACUGCCCACGUUCUGUUCUGCCUCGAGGCUCUGAUUCACAGAUUUAGAACUUGAAGGAGACGGAAGGGGUCAUCAAGUCUGAAACCUUCAUCUUAUCGAUGAGGAGAAUGAGGCUGGAGAAUUGAAGUGACUCACCCAAGGUCAAACAGUUUUCUUAAAGGAACUUUGCUGGCGGCGCACUGACAUUUAGGUCUUAGCUCUCUUCCUUUCAGCCCUGGCCCCUGCCUGGCAGUUCUAUGCCUAGGGCUUUCCAGCUCAAAACCUAGACUCUAUAUUGUUUCAAAUAUGCUAGAACAGCUUUGUUACAAAUAGUUCGUGUUUCAUUUAUAAAACAAAGAGAUUGAACUCAAUGUCUCCAAAGAUCUUUCAGUCUUAAAUCUAUAAGCCUCGGAAACUUUUUUGACCUUAACAACGAGAACAGACAAUUCCAUAGAAACCAUACAAAGAAGAUCCUUCUCCUGGGAAAGGUUAGCUGUUCAGCUGGAGAAAUGUCAAUUCCUUGAGAGCUGGACCAAUUUUUCAUUUCUCUUGUGGUAUUCCCAGCACACAUCUCAUGCCUUUUUUUUUUUUCAUUUUUUUUAUGAGAAUGGGUCUCCCUAUUUUACCCAGGCUACAGCAGCCCCCUCCAGGUCAAUCUCACUAAUAGUCUGAUCUUCAAUGUGCCAUUUACAUUUAACAAUAAAGACUCCCUUAUGCCCUACUCA